GAGGCAGAUCUCACCUGCUCUCUGUGGGGCAGUGGAUCUCCCCUGGAGGCAGAUCUCGCCUGCUCUUAGGCCUUCUCCCCUGGCCUGGAGUGGCCUGAAACCCAGACCUGCCUCCUCCCUGGAGCAGUUUCUGCAGGGCUGCUCUCUGGGGACAAAUCCUACCCAUUGCCUUUGUCAGAGGAAGUCCUUCCUUUGGCUUCACAUUUGACACACAGCUUGCUGGACGGGGGCUCCUUGCCCUACCUCUGGCUAUCCUGAGUCCUGGCAGCCUGAAGCAGCCUUGUCCUGCUGCCCCGGGUCGAGGCUGGAGGUGUCCUCAGUUUCUUGGAGCUGUGGUUUGGUGUCCAUCUUUAAAUCAGGAAGUUUUUCAGUCAAUACUUAUCACUUGACCUUUUAUGGUCCUUUCUUUUUCCUAGGCACAUGGCCAGUGCCUGUGACCAUGGUACCUUCCUAUCCCUGUUUUCCUGCUCCUCCCUUGCUCCCUCCUUUUGCUUUCCCGUCUGGGCAUUCUACUUAUGGCCUGUGGGCCAGCCUGCCUGAGGCGCUGCCGUUCCCUGCCACCGAUGCCCGGUUCCCCCAGCCUUCCCCAAGGGCCACCUUCUGCAAACCCGCCUUCUGUUCCUUCAUAUUGGCCCCCUCCUCCAUCGGGGCCAUAGCUCACUAAUAGUUGCUGUUUUAUAUUCCUGGUCUCAUCAUUCCAAAUCUGCCAUGUUCUUGUCCUUCCUUUAUUUUUUUUUAUUUACUUAGUUGUAGAUGAACACACAGUAUCUUUAUUCAUUUUUAUGUGGUGCUGAGGAUUGAACCCAGUGCCUCACACAUGGGAGGCAAGCGCUUUACCACUGAGCUACAUCCUCAGCCCGUUAGUGUCCUUUCUAUACACUGACAACAAAGUGUCCAAAAAAAAAAAAAUUAAGUAAACAAUUCCAUUUAAAAUACCAUCAAAAAAUAAAUUAGUAGGGAACUUAACUAAGGAAGUUUUGAAAAUUAUAAAGCAUUGGAAAAAGAAACUGAAAACACAAAAAGAUGGAAAGUUAUCCCAUGUUCAUGAAUUAGAGGAAUUGAUGUUUUAAAAUGUCCAUGCUCUCCAAAUCAAGCUGUAGGUAGGGUCAGUGGAAUUCCUAUCCAAAUUUCAGUGUCAUUCUUCACAGAAAUAGAAAAAAAGACAGGACUGAAAUUGGUUCAGAAGCACAGAAUACUCCAGUGGCCAGACAGGACAGAGCGGCCCAGGGGCCGUGUGCUGGCUCUGCCUGCGUCUCUCCGACUGUGUGUUCUGCUCUCUCUUUCGUAGGCCUUGCAGUUUUUCUGGAUGCCAGGCACCACGCUGAGGUGAAGGCAAGAGAGGCAGCCCUGUGCGGCCACACCUAGGCCCAGCUGGUGCCAGUCUACGCUCACCAUGGGCGGAGCUGAGCACUGGGGGCAAGUGGCCCUCAGGCCUCCCUCCUGUCCCUCACAGCUCUGUGGAACUGCGGGAGCCUUCUUCCUGCUGAAGAGCCCGGAAGAUACAGGAAGAGGCGUCCUCCGGCCCUGGGCCUGGGUCUCCUUGCUCAGGGAGCCAGUGUCCUGGGACUGUGACCUCUCAAGCACUUCUUGCUCCUUCCCCUUUGUGACCCCGCAAGGCUGGAGGCCCACACUGGCCUUCCCUGUGACCUCAGUCCCCUGAGGGGUCGAUUUCCAGUUUGUUGGACCUUUCCUUGUCAGGGUGCAUGGGCUGGCAAUGGCCACACCCUUCACAGCUGCACCAGGAGCCAGGAGACUGGUGUCCUCCUCCUCCACAUCCCACUGUCCAAAUGUGCCCUUAGACCUGCUCACUAGCGUUAAUCCAGCCACUCUCCAGUGCUUGAAAGAGAUCUUUUAAAUGGUUUGAACUUUUUGCUUUGUAAUAAAUAAUUUAUAAUAAAUAAUUUGCGUACACAUUA